rnacentral:rRNA from 1 species
GACGAACGCUGGCGGCGUGCCUAAUACAUGCAAGUCGAGCGAAGUUUUUCUGGUGCUUGCCCUAGAAAAACUUAGCGGCGAACGGGUGAGUAACACGUAAAGAACCUGCCUCAUAGACUGGGACAACUAUUGGAAACGAUAGCUAAUACCGGAUAACAGUAUUUCUCGCAUGAGAGAUAUUUAAAAGUUGGUUAUGCUAACACUAUGAGAUGGCUUUGCGGUGCAUUAGCUAGUUGGUGGGGUAAAGGCCCACCAAGGCGACGAUGCAUAGCCGACCUGAGAGGGUGAUCGGCCACACUGGGACUGAGACAGGCCCAGACUCCUACGGGAGGCAGCAGUAGGGAAUCUUCCGCAAUGGGCGAAAGCCUGACGGAGCAACGCCGCGUGAGUGAAGAAGGAUUUCGGUUCGUAAAGCUCUGUUGUUAGGGAAGAAUGGAUAUGUAGUAACUAUACAUGUAAGAGACGGUACCUAACCAGAAAGCCACGGCUAACUACGUG